rnacentral:sRNA from 1 species
GCGGGUUCGCAGGGUGCGGGGCGCACGGCGGCGCCGAGCGUGCGGCCGGAGAAGCGGCGGUCGGAGCCCGAACUGGAGCCUGAGCCCGAGCCGGAGCCCCCCCUCCUCUGCACCUCUCCUCUCAGCCACAGCACCGGCAGCGAUUCUGGCGUCUCCGACAGCGAGGAGAGUGUGUUCUCAGGCCUGGAAGAUUCCGGCAGUGACGGCAGUGAGGAUGAUGACGAAGGCGACGAGGAGGGAGAGGCCGGAGCCCUUGAUGACGAGGGCCACAGUGGGAUGGAAAAGACCACUGAGGAGCAGGUGCAGAAGUUUCUGUUUUUAUCAGUUUAAUCUGCUUGUCACAGUCAAGAAUGUGAGAAAAGACUGGGUGUGGUGAGCCAAACCUGUAAUCCCAGCACUUUGGGAGGCCGAGGUGGGCGGAUCACUUGAGGAGUUCGAGACCAGCCCGGCCAACAUGGUGAAACCUCAUGUGAAUUGCUUGAGCCUGGGAGGUGGAAGUUAGAGUAAGCUGAGAUCAUGCCACGGCCUCCAUCCUGGGUGACAGAGUGAGUGGGACU